GUAGGUGAACCUGCGGAAGGAUCAUUACCGUGGGGGCUUCGGCCCCCUUGAGAUAGAACCCUUGCCUUUUUUGAGUACCUUCGUUUUCCUCGGCAGGCUCGCCUGCCAAUGGGGACCCCAAUAAACCCUUUGUAAUACCUGAAAUCGUCUGGCAAAACAAACAAAAAUUAAAACUUUCAACAACGGAUCUCUUGGUUCUG
rnacentral:misc_RNA from 1 species